CAUACAUGGAGAAUCAGGUUACAAUGAUUACAUUCAUGGGAAAGUCAGGUUACAAUGGUUACAUAAAUGGGGAAGUCAGGUUACAAUGGUUACAUGCAUGGGGAUUGCUGGUUACAAUGGUUACAUGCAUGGGGAUUGCUGGUUACAAUGGUUACAUGCAUGGGGAAGUCAGGUUACAAUGGUUACAUACAUGGAGAAUGAGGGUUACAAUGGUUACAUACAUGGGGAUUGCUGGUUACAAUGGUUACAUGCAUGGGAAAUCAGAUUACAAUGGUUACAUGCAUGGGGAAGUCAGGUUACAAUGGUUACAUACAUGGAGAAUGAGGUUUACAAUGGCUACAUACAUGGAGAAUUAGGUUACAAUGGUUACAUGCAUUGGAAAUCAGGUUACAAUGGUUACAUAC